GUGGGGAAUAUUGGACAAUGGGGGGAACCCUGAUCCAGCCAUGCCGCGUGUGUGAAGAAGGCCUUUUGGUUGUAAAGCACUUUAAGCGAGGAGGAGGCUACCGAGAUUAAUACUCUUGGAUAGUGGACGUUACUCGCAGAAUAAGCACCGGCUAACUCUGUGCCAGCAGCCGCGGUAAUACAGAGGGUGCAAGCGUUAAUCGGAUUUACUGGGCGUAAAGCGCGCGUAGGUGGCCAAUUAAGUCAAAUGUGAAAUCCCCGAGCUUAACUUGGGAAUUGCAUUCGAUACUGGUUGGCUAGAGUAGGGGAGAGGAUGGUAGAAUUCCAGGUGUAGCGGUGAAAUGCGUAGAGAUCUGGAGGAAUACCGAUGGCGAAGGCAGCCAUCUGGCCUAAUACGGACACUGAGGUGCGAAAGCAUGGGGAGCAAACAGGAUUAGAAACCCGAGUAGUCC
rnacentral:rRNA from 1 species